UGAAGAUGACAAACAUCCCGAUGACGUCCGAACAAGGAGCUUCGUCUGCAGCACGUUUUCGUUCUUCGCCAGCAUCAUAACUAUUCCCCUGGCACCGCUUUCGGGCUUUCUGGUGUCCAUAUUUGGCUACAGGGCCGCCUCCAUGUGGUUGUUCGGACUCCUCUCUGUAUGGGCUUUCCUAACUGGAUCCAUUUGGCUUGUACGAGGAUGGCAGAAAGACGGGAAGCUCAUCCCGCCAACGGAUGUGGACAGGCAGCCAUAUUACCAAGUGCACGGACGUUGUACCUACCCAAUCAUCGACUCAUCUCAACCACUAAUUUAAAAACGUGGUAGAACCCUAUGCAAAUUUAAAGACACGAAGACCGUGACCUGUGUUAUGUAAAAGCAUGCUGCGAAUAAAUAGAAAUGCCUGUUGAGAAAUUGUAGACUGUUAAGGCUUAAUGUUAAGGUCGAUUAAGCAAAUCUCUGCAAUCGAUUAUUAAUCAAAGUAAUUGGACAGAUUUUUAAAUCUCCAAUUAGCAUGUGUAGCAUUUUUUAUUUGUUAUUAGAAUUAUUAAGCAAAAUCACUUUAUUAGGCAAAGCCUCAUUAAGAAGCCGUGAAAAGUGGCAAAUGCCAAACUACACGAAAAUAUAAGGCAAGCAACAAAGGAAUAUAUUCUGUUACGUAAGUUCACAUAAUAAAAUAGUCAUAUAUGUAUUUCAGCUCUAGAAAAUAUAACAUAGCAUACAUCGAAGACUGUUAGAAAAUAUCUGACGGGCACGUUAGCGCAGCAUUUGCCUGUCCGUGAGUUACGAUAAAACAAAGCCAUUUGACUACAUAAAUAAAGACGAUACAAGAUGUUGUUGUGGUGCUUUCUGUCGGCGUGCAUGUGCGUGUGCUACUUUUACCAUGAAGCUUUUCACCAUGAAUGAACACAGACAAGAAAUUGAACAAAAUCGUUGUCAUGGUCGUGCAAUAAAUUUAUUAUAAGGUGUA